AAGAUUAUUUUUCCUCACUCUCCUUCAUGCCAUUCCCCUUACUCGGUCUCUCUCUCUCCUCUUUGCACGUUCUUUUCAAUUCUUCUUCCAAACCCUUUUCUUCUUGUUCAAGUAACGUUUCUUCUUCAACAAGAAACGUCACCAAAGAUCCGAAAACCACCAAGCAACCACCGUCGGAUGCUGUGCUGCGUUUCCCCUUGUCGGCGCCUUCUUGCCCUCUUCUUUGUUGGUUGUUUUCUUUUCUUCUUUCUUAAGAUUCCAUUAAAGACUAUAUUUUUUUAUGUUUUCUAUUAUUGUUAAUCAUGAUUAUUAGUUUAAAAUACUGUUUUAAUAAGUAAUUUCGAUUCACCUAUAGUUUAUAUUAUAAGAAAAAUUUUAGAUUUGUUAUUAUGAUUAGAUUUUUAGUUUUAAUCAUGAAAACAUGAAUUUUUAGGGUUUUAAAUUGCUAGAAAACCAUAGUAGCUUAUUAGAUACUAUGAGAUUAACUUAGAAUAUGAUUUUAAAUAUGUUAUAUAUGUUUUAAGGAGAUUUAUUAAUUUUUAAAGUUGCUGUAAUUUCAGAAAGGGUUUAUUUAUAGAGUUUUUAAGAGUUUUUUAUUACUAGUAUGGUAGUACUAUGCUAGGAAUUAAAAAUAAUUCAAUUUUGGAUAUUAAAAUCAACUUUUAAACGUUUUUAAAGGGGGUUUUACGUAGUUUAAGGCUGCUGUAAUUUUUAUUUAAAGUUAUUAAUUUCGGUUAUAUUGAUUUCUAGACGGAGAAUAUCUCGUAGGGGACUUUUAAAGGAUUAAAAGUGGCCUACAGGCUAGUUUACACGAGAUUCAGUGCAUCAUUGGGAAUCUGGAGUGGAGAGAUUGUGUAACUAACAUAGUUUAUUUUCUGCUUUAUUGAGAACAUAUUUUAUUUAAGUUUGUUUGAGUUAAUUAAGUUGGUUUGUUUAAGUCCUCAACACUUGUUAUUCAUUUUGAGUUAUAAUAAAGUUAAAGUUUAUUUAA